rnacentral:rRNA from 1 species
AUGAACGCUGGCGGCGUGCCUAAUACAUGCCAGUCGAGCGAACAGACGAGGAGCUUGCUCCUCUGACGUUAGCGGCGGACGGGUGAGUAACACGUGGAUAACCUACCUAUAAGACUGGGAUAACUUCGGGAAACCGGAGCUAAUACCGGAUAAUAUAUUGAACCGCAUGGUUCAAUAGUGAAAGACGGUUUUGCUGUCACUUAUAGAUGGAUCCGCGCCGCAUUAGCUAGUUGGUAAGGUAACGGCUUACCAAGGCGACGAUGCGUAGCCGACCUGAGAGGGUGAUCGGCCACACUGGAACUGAGACACGGUCCAGACUCCUACGGGAGGCAGCAGUAGGGAAUCUUCCGCAAUGGGCGAAAGCUUGACGGAGCAACGCCGCGUGAGUGAUGAAGGUCUUCGGAUCGUAAAACUCUGUUAUUAGGGAAGAACAAAUGUGUAAGUAACUAUGCACGUCUUGACGGUACCUAAUCAGAAAGCCACGGCUAACUACGU